rnacentral:tRNA from 4 species
GGAGCGGUAGUUCAGUUGGUUAGAACGCCAGCCUGUCACGUUGGAGGUCGCGGGUUCGAGCCCCGUCCGCUCCGCCA